AUGAAGUCGUAUAGUCUUCAGCGUAGGGCUCCACCGGCGGAAGACGGCGCGCCAGUGCUCCGGCGGAGCGCGAGCGCGAAGCAGGCGUCCUCCCCGUCGCCGCUCAGCGUCUCCUCCUCCUCCUCCCAGUACCAGUCGGCGCGCGCCUCGACGUCCACGGCCAACGCGCCUGCCUUCGCGCGCCACAAGGCGCCGUCCAUCAACUGCAUGGCGGCCACCUCCACCGACACGCCGCCGGCCACCCCCAGGGGCACCAAGCAGCAGAAGCCCAAGUCCGCGUCGUACUCGUCGAUGUUCUCCCCGAGGAAGCUCAUGCAGCGGGCCUCCCGCGCCUUCCGCGGCAGGUCGUCCCGGCACAAGAGGAACUUGGCGGCGGACGUCGGCGAAGUGGACAGCCCCAGGUCGGUCGCCAGCAAGGGGUCUGACGCUGAAAGCAGCGUCUUUUCCUUGGACGAUCAGAUCACCGACGACGUCGUCGACGCCGGAGCCGCCUCCAAGCAGGAGGAGAUCGUGCCGGAGAAGAUCAUACACGAGGCGAACCCGCCGUCGCCCGUGAUCAAUCAGCUGGCGCCCGUGGCGGAGGAACAGGAAGAGGCGCGCAAUAACUCGCCGAAGAAGGAGGACGCCGCCGCAGAGAAGGAGGAGGAGGAGGAGGAGCCCAAGAAGGAGGAGGAGGUGCCCAAGGAGGAGGAGGAGGAGGUGCCCAAGAAGGAAGCUCCUCCUGCUCCGGAUGACACCGUUGCCGAAGUGGACAAAAUCGCGGCUGCCAAGAAGCAGCAGCGUGAGGAUGACAUCAAGGCGGAGGUGGUGUGGAGGUUCCAGGGCUGCCGGGUGAGGACGUCGACGGGGAAGCGGUCGUUCGACGCUGACACGCCGCGGCGGCGGGAGUCGGCACGCAGCAACGAGGCGGUCGAGGAGGCGCGGAUCAAGCUGCUGGAGCUGCGGCAGGUGAACAAGGUGAAGGCUCUCGUCGGCGCCUUCGAGACCGUCAUGGACGACAACGAAAGCCCCGUCGCCGCCCGCAAGUCGCGGCUGAACCCCCACGCCUGA
rnacentral:rRNA from 1 species